rnacentral:rRNA from 1 species
CCUACGGGGGGCAGCAGUGGGGAAUAUUGGACAAUGGGGGGAACCCUGAUCCAGCCAUGCCGCGUGUGUGAAGAAGGCCCUCGGGUUGUAAAGCACUUUCAGUGAGGAAGAACGCCUGGUGGUUAAUACCCAUCAGGAAAGACAUCACUCACAGAAGAAGCACCGGCUAACUCCGUGCCAGCAGCCGCGGUAAUACGGAGGGUGCGAGCGUUAAUCGGAAUUACUGGGCGUAAAGCGCGCGUAGGUGGCUUGAUAAGCCGGUUGUGAAAGCCCCGGGCUCAACCUGGGAACGGCAUCCGGAACUGUCAAGCUAGAGUGCAGGAGAGGAAGGUAGAAUUCCCGGUGUAGCGGUGAAAUGCGUAGAGAUCGGGAGGAAUACCAGUGGCGAAGGCGGCCUUCUGGACUGACACUGACACUGAGGUGCGAAAGCGUGGGUAGCAAACAGGAUUAGAUACCCCGGUAGUC